UGUUGCUGCUGCUGUUGUUGUUACUGCUGCCACCACUGACGGUGGAGGUGGUGUCUACUCCCACUACAGGACCUUCCAAAGUGGAAUCCUUACUUCACCAAUGCUCGCUCCCUGGAACAACACGAGAUGAUGGAGCCAGAGAUGCAGCAUCACCAUCAGAGAAGACAAGAGUUCCGAGAGAAGCUGGAGGCUAGAGUCAGACACAGGAGAGAGCAUCCUGGCAUGUCCUCACUAUACUCCUCUCAUGGUGGUAGCCACAGGAGCUUCCAGAGAUCCCAUGUCUAUGUGCAGACUGAUAAUUAUUACGAACCACUGGAACGCCCUCCAGAGGUACAGACAGAAGCUCAGACCCCAGAUACGUGGAGUCAGGACGUGCCCAUGGCACCCAUGUCUUUCAUCACUCCCAGGGGCGUGGAUGCCCAUACCCAAGUCUACCAGACCGAGGUCAGUAUACCCACCCUCU